rnacentral:lncRNA from 10 species
CGCCUCCUAGGUUCAAGUGAUUCUCCUGCCUCAGCCUCCCGAGUAGCUGGGAUUAUAGGUACAUGCCACCACGCCCGACUAAUUUUUGCAUUCUUAGUAGAGACAGGGUUUCACCAUGUUGGCCAGGCUGGUCUCAAACUCUUGACCUCAUGAUCUGUCCGCCUCAGCGGACGGAUCCCAAAGUGCUGGGAUUAAAGGCGUGAGCCACCACACCCGGCCCUGACUGUAUUUAAAUAAGGGACAUGAGUAUGUGUAUGUGUCACACACACACAUACACACACACACACACACCUGUGUCUUCCUCUAAAUUACUACCAUCAGGGCAAAUAUUAAAUCAGGAGCUGAACCUGUUGAUUGGAAUCUGGAACUGGUCACUUGGAAGCUGGGAAUCAUUGGUCUUCUCUUUGUGUUCUAGAACGGAGGCAAUCAUACUUCCACUCAUCUCCCAUGCAGACAGUUCAGAAUGAAUGAGAAGGACAUGCAAAUGGGAAGAAGAAAGAGAGCCCACGGUUGUUGAGCCUACAGGACAUUCUCAAACACUGAGAAUAGGAAGACUGACAAAGAUCAUUUAGGAAAUUUGCCUGGGAUCUUCUUGUGGGCCUACAUACUCCCCAUUGUCACUGCAAUAGAGCCAGGAUCCAGCCCAGUGCCUGGUCAGAAGAAGCUCCAUUAGUGCUUAAGAACUGUAUUCAAUUGGAACUUUCAACCAAUUCAAUAUGGUCACAACGGGUUGGCUCCUAGUAAGCUGCUCAAGUCUCAAAUGGGAUUCCUGGUGAGCAGAUGGGCCUUCUCCAAGAAGAGAUUCAGGAACCUGUGCUCCCUCCAUCCUGUGGUACCAUCAACUUCACAUGUGACUUCAAGCUGCCACACCCAUCUGCUUCGAACUGGCAGCAGGGAAGAGCCUGGGGGAAUGGGAGGUUUUGUGGAUCAGAUGUAGAGGUGGCACACGUCACUUCUAAUCACCCUUUGGCUGUAACUCAAUUACUUGGCCAGUGCUUACCAGCGAUGUAACUUCAACAGAGCCUGCAAAAUACAGUGCAGCUCUGUGCCAGGAGAAAGGAGGCAAUGAGUUUGGUGAAGAUAGGCAAUCUCCACCACAACCCAUACCCAACAACUGGGGACAGCAGUGAGAUUCCAGGACAGCAAAAGCCCAGCUCAGCCCUCCACUAGGGUAUAAUAGCCCUGUAGGUAAGCUUGGAGGAAGUCAAAAUUUGAAGCUCUAUCUUGGGCUGCACACAUGCCUAAAGCCUUGUUUAUUGUAUCCCCUUCUUUGGGGAACUGUUCCUCUCGAGCUUCAAUAAUGCCAAUCCUAGUAUUCUUAGACCCCUAGCUAGAGGUAAGCAUAUGACUCAGGUUUAAGGGUGGGCAUUCAGGGAUCAGUUUAGGGAAGGUCACGUGAUCCUAGAAGAGCCUAUUGGCAUGCUUCCCUAACCAAUCAAGAACGCUUUGCUCCUAAUUGUCUGGUUAUAGGGCUGCAAGGAUGGAAGUGAGGAGUGGUCUGACAUCAUGCCUGCACCCUCAAUGGAGAAAGCCAGAAGAAAGAAGGCAGCAUGUAGAAAAGAGCUGAGAAAGAAAGAGAGAAAUGACAGCAAUGACAGUGUUCAAGUCCCUGGCUCUUUAAGGCUAGGCUACUCCUCCUUUGCUUUUUUUUUUUUUUUUUUUUGGACAGAGUCUCACUCUGUGCCCAGGCUAGAGUGCAGUGACGCAAUCUCGGUUCACUGAAACCUCCACCUCUGGGGUUCAAGCGAUUAUCCUGCCUCAGCCUCCUGAGUAGCUGGGACUACAAGUAUGCACCACCAAGUCCAGCUAAUUUUUGUACUUUUAAUAGAAAUGGGAUUUCCCAUGUUGGCCAGGCUGGUCUCGAACUCCUGACCUCAAGUGACCCACCCACCUCAGCCUCCCACAGUGCUGGGAUUACAGGCAGGAGCCACCGCACCCAGCCACCCCUGCCAUUUCUAUGGUUUGAUUAUAUAACUCAAUAUAUUCCCUCUUUGCUUAAUCUAGUUCAAGUUGAGUCACUUGCAAUCCUAAGAUUUAUGAGUUAACACAUCCAACAUGCCAGACACCAAGAGAUUCUAGCAGGUAAAUGGGCUUCAACAACAAAUCCAUAUCAACUCCCACAAUGCUUUUGUCCAGUGUUAGCUCUGCUCACGUGUAUUCUCUCUCUGUCUCUCUCUUUCUCUCUCUCUCACACACACAAACCCUCUUGCACACUGGGAGUCCCCCCCAAUGAUACAUUGAAAUUCUAAUUCCCAGUAACUCAGAAUGUGACCUUCUUUGGAAAUAGGUCCAUUACAGAGGUCAUCAUGUUGAAACGAAGUCAUUAUGGUAGGCUUAAUCUGGUGUGACUUAUGAAAGAGAGAAAUUCAGACACAAAGACACGCACACACAGAGGGAAGAUGAUGUGACGAGACAUCAUCAGGGAAAUGGACAAUGACACGUGAAGAUGAAGGCAGAGACUGGGAUGAAAAGCAGUAGGUAUUUGUCUUUGUAAGUUCUCUGGAAAGGCCUUGAGAAAUUUCAUUUCUCUCGUCAUACUGUGUAUGUACAGGUAUGUGUAUAUGUAUGUGUACGUAUAUAAACAUUCUGUGUGGGAAAAUGAGUAGAAGAAGAUUAAAGCAAUCUAGU